rnacentral:rRNA from 1 species
GACGAACGCUGGCGGCGUGCCUAAUACAUGCAAGUAGAACGCUGAAGCUUGGUGCUUGCACCGAGCGGAUGAGUUGCGAACGGGUGAGUAACGCGUAGGUAACCUGCCUGGUAGCGGGGGAUAACUAUUGGAAACGAUAGCUAAUACCGCAUAAGAGUAGAUGUUGCAUGACAUUUGCUUAAAAGGUGCAAUUGCAUCACUACCAGAUGGACCUGCGUUGUAUUAGCUAGUUGGUGAGGUAACGGCUCACCAAGGCAACGAUACAUAGCCGACCUGAGAGGGUGAUCGGCCACACUGGGACUGAGACACGGCCCAGACUCCUACGGGAGGCAGCAGUAGGGAAUCUUCGGCAAUGGACGGAAGGCUGACCGAGCAACGCCGCGUGAGUGAAGAAGGUUGUCGGAUCGUAAAGCUCUGUUGUAAGAGAAGAACGAGUGUGAGAGUGGAAAGUUCACACUGUGACGGUAUCUUACCAGAAAGGGACGGCUAACUACGUG